GCCAGCUGUUUGCCACGUCCGGCGAGCCGCCAUUGCAAUCACUUUUGAGGUCUUUUUAAAUGCUAAAACACGUACAUGGGAAGAGACACACCUGUGGUUGAGCAAAGAACCGUUACAACAGUGCCUCCAACUAAUGGACUUGAGCAUGAAAAUAUCUAUGCUGGGCAAAUUAACAAAUGCAAACAAGUAGGUAAAAAGGAGACUUUGUCCUCAACCCCGGAUGGCAAAAACUCUUCAUGGACCUCUUGCCAUCCGCUCCAGCCCUGGACGCCUUGAUUGCACGCGGAGGUCCUUGAGGUGAGUGUAAGCCAUGUGGUCUCCGUUCAUCAACAUCCCAACACAAAUCUGGUAAGUCAACACACGGAGAGUGGAAUUUGGAAGCCGUUGGCGAUUUGGUGGCAGGUGAGAAAUGACCGUCUCCAUCCAAACCAUGGACUUUGGACAACCAACCAGGACUUUCACAUCUGGGAAGAUUAGUUUGUGCCGACUGUUCUGGAGGUCCCGCCUCCAGCGUCUGGCAGAAGGGGAACAGCCUCUCGAUGGGAGUUAUCUGCAGCUCACUUCGAGUGCAGUUAUGGAGCUCCAUCCAAAUCAUGCCAUGUUCCCUGUAAGUGCGCGAGUAGGCCAGACCUAGUCUUUCCAGCUCCACACAGACUUCAAGGGUCCUCGAUUGCAGCAGUGGACAGUCUGGAGGGCGGAUGACUCUCCAGGUGGAGCUGGACGUAGUCCUUAGAGUUCCACCACAUGGUCCUGGUCCCCGUGAAGUACCGGACUUUCACAUCUGGGAAGAUUAGCUCCCUAUGACAGUAAAUGCAAUAUAUCAGAAAGAGCGGACUGCAGACUUUUUGUCAGGAUACGAGGGUGCAGCUGGAAGGCAGGUAGGACUCGCAGGAGUUUCCAGAAGGUGCUCCAGAAGAGCCAAAGGACGUGCACCGACAACUAGACAUUGACAAUGACGCGACCGGGGACAACAGGCACACAGGGCUUAAAUUCACUAGGGAGGUGCAGGUGAUUGGACACAGGAGGAGUCAAUCACAGGACAAGGCAGGAAGUGAAGCUACCCAGGGACACAAGAGACAUGAAAACUACAACAAAAGACAGGAAGCAGAACCAAACCGUGACACUUUUAUUUAUUCAUUACAUGUUUUUAUCUUUGAUAUGGUGUAUUUUAUGCUGGUUUUAGAUAUAUAUUUUUUUAACUUGGGGUUGGGUAUUAAUGAUUUAAUUCACUUCUUUUUAGGUGGGUGUUAUGUGCUUUUAUAGAAUUUUAACUUGGGGUUGGGUAUUAAUGAUUUUAUUCAUUAUUGCACUUAAGAUGUUUAUGUUAUUUUAUGCCUAAAGUGCAGCGUUCCUUCCUGUCCCACUAUUCCCCGCAAGUCCUCUCUGAUGUCCAUCCCCUUUCCUUCCAGGUUGGACUGGAAGUUUGUGGCCGAGGGUGGAGAACGGGAAAACAUGAUGUGGACGCCAGGGUCCUUCGCCACAAACUUGCAGGCAAGUUGGACCGACCUUUGACCUUGACUCGUCCGGGGCAACCAAUUCGGUGACAUCCAGAGGGUCUGGAUCCUUCUGCCCGAAUUUGUCCAUGAAGACCCUCAAGUCCUUCCGCUGAACGUAGCCGACGGUGUAUUCGAGGGAGGCCUGAGGAUGUGACACUGUAGUGCAGUACACGGGGACGUGCAGGUCUUCGUGCAUGAAAUCUCUGCACGCAAACUCACUUUGCUGUGCUCUUCAAAUUUGUCCAGCAGAUUGUUGGUGUUUUCCACGUCUCAUCUUCCACGCGCCACUGGACCAUCCGGGAGAACACUGUUGUUGCACGGCAGCUUUGCUGCAAGAAUUCAUGUCCACUGUGCCAUUUUAUGCUUUUAUAGAAUUUUAACUUGGGGUUGGUGUUCUUGUCUUAAUGAUUUAAUGUAUUCACUUUUUACUUUAGGUGUGUUUUGUGCUUUUAUAGAAUUUUAACUUGGGGUUGGUGUUCUUGUCUUAAUGAUUUAAUGUAUUCACUUUUUACUUUAGGUGUGUUUUGUGCUUUUAUAGAAUUUUAACUUGGGGUUGGUGUUGUCUUAAUGAUUUAAUGUAUUCACUUUUUAUUUUAGGUGUGUUUUGUGCUUUUAUAGAAUUUUAACUUGGGGUUGGGUAUUAAUGAUUUCAUUUAUUCAUUAUUGCAUUUAAGAUGUGUGUUAUUUUAGUGCAGCCUUCCUUCCCGUCCCACUAUUCCCCGAUGUCCAGCCCCUUUUUUUUAUUUUAAAUCUUUAUUAUACCUCGAGUGCAGCAUUCCUUCCCGUCCCAGCAUUUUUUUUCUCCCUCAUCCCAUUUCUUAAUGCAAUUUUUACCUGGGAUUUUAAACAUUUUACUUUUUAUAAAGAUGUUUGUUUACACAAAUUCCAUCCCACUGCAGUUUAAGGCUAGGACGCCCAGGGCUUUUUUUCUUCUUUUUUUUCUAUUAGUCCUCCUGCCCUGUCGACGCUGACUUUGCUAUUGUGCUGCUUUUUUGCCCCCCUCGUCUCAAGUGCCCACGUCAAACACAUCCGCUGUCACCCUGCUGCCGUGACAACAACGUGCAGGAACUUCAUCAGUGAGGUCAUCGGUGGUUAGAUAGAUGUGAUUAGUGACUCGUUUCCGGGUCUCUCUAUACAUUGUGUUACCUUUAUCCAAAACAUGGUCCAGGUCUGCUCUUGUGAUUUUUUCAUUCUCAUGAAGGAAUGCAAGAAAGGUCAGUGAGUUACAGGUGCACUGCCGAUUUCUGGAUCUGCCGUAUCUGAUGGAAGCCUGGCUGUGGGAUGCACGCACAUGUUGUUCAGAAGGCUGAUCUCCAGGGUCUAUGCACUCUGCAUUAGAAGGUCCUGCUGCACAUGGAUCAUCACUGUUUUUUCCUCUCUCUACAGCAUCUGAUACCUGUGAUUCACAUGACUCAUUACUUUGACCUCUAAGGUUCACCUGCUUGACAUUAGAAGGUCCUGCUACACAUGGAUCAUCACUGUGCUUUCCUCUUUUCACAACAUCUGCAUAAGAUAGCAGUGGUGGACAUGAAGCGUCAGGCUGACCUUCCUGUUCCACACGUUUACACUCUGCAGACAUCUUUACCUCUGCACUGCUCUCAGGACCAACGCAUUCUGCUCCUUCAGUAGUUGUUGCACAGUGUGUGUCAUUGGGCCGCUGCCAGCGCAGGCUCUGAGCUUGUGACCUCUUACUUUUCCUUGGCAUUGUUGUCGUUUCAAAAACCACAAAUGUUGUACAAAACCAAGAUAUUAAAUGAAAUUUUGUCAAAUAUGACCUUUAACAAACCAGGAUUUGAAGAUGGAUUAAACCGGUUUGCUGCGAUUAAACAAAAACUAAUAAUGCUAAUAUGAAUGAAAAAUACUGUUUGGGGUUACACUUUUCAAAACAUAUAUAAAUAGCCUAACACUUAAAGAGAUCAAAACAUUUGUGUAACAAACACUAAUAUAUUGAACGUCAAAUUCAGUGAGAGCAACCCCAAGGAUAUUCUGGAUUCUUUUGAGGUUUUAAUAACCAAAUUAUCCAGUUGUUUGCCUUAUUACAAUAUCUGGACAAAGCACUUCUAAGAUUUAAAUACUGCAAUCGGGUCUCAGUAUGUCUGUCUAUGUUAAUGAAGUACCAUGUACUAAAGUGACCGAUUGUAUUUAAUAUGCAAUAGAUAUUGCUUACCGAAACCUUGAUUUAUCUGUGAAAAUAAAUAUUCAAUGUAAAAACUGAAGUUUACCUCAAACACACAACUUGGAACUGGUUAAUUAUACUGAAAGGCGCGGUCAGAUUUCAAAUGGCUCAAUUUACUUGUAGAAAUCAUCCUAAUACUUUAUUAAGCUAUUGUUUA